rnacentral:rRNA from 1 species
UACGUAGGGUGCGAGCGUUGUCCGGAAUUACUGGGCGUAAAGAGCUCGUAGGUGGUUUGUCGCGUUGUUCGUGAAAACUCACAGCUUAACUGUGGGCGUGCGGGCGAUACGGGCAGACUGGAGUACUGCAGGGGAGACUGGAAUUCCUGGUGUAGCGGUGGAAUGCGCAGAUAUCAGGAGGAACACCGGUGGCGAAGGCGGGUCUCUGGGCAGUAACUGACGCUGAGGAGCGAAAGCAUGGGGAGCGAACAGG